AAGAAGGCCUUCGGGUUGUAAAGACUCUUUCGGCCGGGAAAAAAUACGCCUCUCCUAAUACGGGGGUGGGAUGAUGGUACCGGACUAAGAAGCACCGGCUAACUACGUGCCAGCAGCCGCGGUAAUACGUAGGGUGCGAGCGUUAAUCGGAAUUACUGGGCGUAAAGCGUGCGCAGGCGGUUUUUUAAGACAGGCGUGAAAUCCCCGGGCUUAACCUGGGAACUGCGCUUGUGACUGGAAGGCUAGAGUACGGCAGAGGGGGGGUGGAAUUCCACGUGUAGCAGUGAAAUGCGUAGAGAUGUGGAGGAACACCGAUGGCGAAGGCAGCCCCCUGGGCCGAUACUGACGCUCAUGCACGAAAGCGUGGGGAGCAAACAGGAUUAGAUACCCCUGGUAGUCCACGCCCUAAACGAUGUCAACUAGGUGUUGGGUGGGUAAAACCAUUUAGUACCGGAGCUAACGCGUGAAGUUGACCGCCUGGGGAGUACGGCCGCAAGGUUAAAACUC
rnacentral:rRNA from 1 species